rnacentral:rRNA from 1 species
GUAACGAAUAUUCCACAAUGGGCGCAAGCCUGAUGGAGCGAUACCGCGUGCGGGACGAAGCCCUUCGGGGUGUAAACCGCUGUCAGGGGUUACCAAACCAAUUGAGGAGCCCCAGAGGAAGAGACGGCUAACUCUGUGCCAGCAGCCGCGGUAAUACAGAGGUCUCGAGCGUUAAUCGGAGUCACUGGGCUUAAAGGGUGCGUAGGCGGGUCCACAAGUGCUUUGUGAAAUCCCACGGCUCAACCGUGGAAUGGCUGGGCAGACUGUGGAUCUUGAGGUCAGUAGGGGUCGCUGGAACUCUAGGUGGAGCGGUGAAAUGCGUAGAUAUCUAGAGGAACGCCCAAGGUGAAGACAGGCGACUGGGCUGAAUCUGACGCUGAGGCACGAAAGCGUGGGUAGCAAACGGGAUUAGAAACCCGAGUAGUCC